rnacentral:rRNA from 1 species
AAUAUUGCACAAUGGGGGAAACCCUGAUGCAGCGACGCCGCGUGAGUGAAGAAGUAUUUCGGUAUGUAAAGCUCUAUCAGCAGGGACGAUAAUGACGGUAGUCGGAGAAGAAGCCCCGGCUAACUUCGUGCCAGCAGCCGCGGUAAUACGAAGGGGGCUAGCGUUGUUCGGAUUUACUGGGCGUAAAGCGCACGUAGGCGGAUUGGUCAGUUAGAGGUGAAAUCCCGAAGCUCAACUUCGGAACUGCCUUUAAUACUGCCAGUCUCGAGUCCGGAAGAGGUAAGUGGAACUCCUAGUGUAGAGGUGGAAUUCGUAGAUAUUAGGAAGAACACCAGUGGCGAAGGCGGCUUACUGGUCCGGAACUGACGCUGAGGUGCGAAAGCGUGGGGAGCAAACA